rnacentral:rRNA from 1 species
GACGAACGCUGGCGGCGUGCUUAACACAUGCAAGUCGAACGGAAAGGCCCUGCUUUUGUGGGGUGCUCGAGUGGCGAACGGGUGAGUAACAUGUGAGUAACCUGCCCUUGACUUUGGGAUAACUUCAGGAAACUGGGGCUAAUACCGGAUAGGAGCUCCUGCUGCAUGGUGGGGGUUGGAAAGUUUCGGCGGUUGGGGAUGGACUCGCGGCUUAUCAGCUUGUUGGUGGGGUAGUGGCUUACCAAGGCUUUGACGGGUAGCCGGCCUGAGAGGGUGACCGGCCACAUUGGGACUGAGAUACGGCCCAGACUCCUACGGGAGGCAGCAGUGGGGAAUAUUGCACAAUGGGCGGAAGCCUGAUGCAGCAGCGCCGCGUGCGGGAUGACGGCCUUCGGGUUGUAAACCGCUUUCGCCUGUGACGAAGCGUGAGUGACGGUAAUGGGUAAAGAAGCACCGGCUAACUACGUG